CAAGGAGUUUCUCCAAGACUUGAAGG
rnacentral:piRNA from 1 species